AUCGCUGCCAACCUAUCUAUCACUGCCAAUUUAUCUACCACUGCCAAUCUAUCUAUUGCUGCUAAUCUAUCGCUGCUGUCAAUCUAUCUAUCACUGCUAAUCUAUCUAUCGCUGCUAAUCUAUCGCUGCUGCCAAUCUAUCCCUCACUGCUAAGCUAUCCCUCGCUGCUAAGCUAUCACUGCCAAUCAAUUGCUGCUAAUCUAUCGCUGCCAACCUAUCUACCGCGGCGAAUCUAUCUAUCACUGUCAAUUUAUCUACCACUGCCAAUCUAUCUAUCACUGCUAAUCUAUCGCUGCUAAUCUAUCACUGCUAAUCUAUCACUGCUAAUCUAUCGCUGCCAACCUAUCUAUCGCUGCCAAUUUAUCUACCACUGCCAAUCUAUCUAUCACUGCUAAUCUAUUGCUGCUAAUCUAUCACUGCUAAUCUAUCGCUGCUAAUCUAUCACUGCUAAUCUAUCGCUGCCAACCUAUCUACCGCGGCGAAUCUAUCUAUCACUAUCAUUACUAGUUCAAAAUAGAACUAGAGCAUAAAUACACUAAACUUCUUUUGAUAGGUAAUGAUUUUUGGUAACGCUCAUAGCAUUAUAUCAUCUAUAUAGGGUAAAUCAUGGUCCCAUUUGGUCCCAUUUUAACAAAAUGGGACCAAAUGGAAUCAGAAUCAGUAAUUUAUAAGAAGAACAUGACCUGGGACU
rnacentral:sRNA from 1 species